UACGUAGGGGGCGAGCGUUGUCCGGAAUCAUUGGGCGUAAAGCGCGUGUAGGCGGCUUGGUAAGUCCGGUGUGAAACCUUGGGGCUCAACCCCAAGCCUGCACUGGAUACUGCCUCGCUUGAGUCCGGGAGGGGAGAGCGGAAUCCUAGUGUAGCGGUGAAAUGCGCAGAUAUUAGGAGGAACACCAGUGGCGAAGGCGCCGCUCUGGGCCGUGACUGACGCUGAGGAGCGAAAGCGUGGGGAGCAAACAGG
rnacentral:rRNA from 1 species